GACGAACCGUGCGAACGUUGUUCGGAAUCACUGGGCUUAAAGGGCGCGUAGGCGGGCGGUCAAGUCAGGGGUGAAAUCCCACGGCUCACCCGUGGAACUGCUGGGCAUACUGGCGAUCUUGGGCCAACUAGGGGCAACUGGAACAAGCGGUGGAGCGGUGAAAUGCGUAGAUAUCGCUUGGAACGCCAACGGUGAAAACAGGUUGCUGGGGUUGUGCCGACGCUGAGACGACGAAAGCCAGGGGAGCAAAGCGGG
rnacentral:rRNA from 1 species